GACGAACGCUGGCGGCGUGCUUAACACAUGCAAGUCGAACGGAAAGGCCUCUUUCGGGGGGUACUCGAGUGGCGAACGGGUGAGUAACACGUGAGUAACCUGCCCUUGACUUUGGGAUAACUUCAGGAAACUGGGGCUAAUACCGGAUAGGAGCUCCUGCUGCAUGGUGGGGGUUGGAAAGUUUCGGCGGUUGGGGAUGGACUCGCGGCGUAUCAGCUUGUUGGUGGGGUAGUGGCUUACCAAGGCUUUGACGGGUAGCCGGCCUGAGAGGGUGACCUGCCACAUUGGGACUGAGAUACGGCCCAGACUCCUACGGGAGGCAGCAGUGGGGAAUAUUGCACAAUGGGUGGAGGCCUGAUGCAGCAACGCCGUGUGCGGGAUGACGGCCUUCGGGUUGUAAACCGCUUUCGCUCAUGACGAAGCUUUGUGUGACGGUAGUGGGUAAAGAAGCACCGGCUAACUACGUG
rnacentral:rRNA from 1 species